rnacentral:snRNA from 1 species
UCACACCUGGCCCAGGGGAUGCCGUGAUCACGGAGGCGGUUCCCCCACGACGAAGCCCUUCCAUUGCGCUUGGGUUGGAAUGGUCUAUACGAUUACCCUAAAUGUGGGGUAACUCUGUAGCACAAUUGUUGAUAGCGAGGUAGGUCCUGUUUGCGGUUCAAUCCUA